rnacentral:rRNA from 1 species
UACGAAGGGGGCGAGCGUUGUUCGGAUUUACUGGGCGUAAAGGGCGCGCAGGCGGCUCAUUUUGUCAGGCGUGAAAGCCCCGGGCUUAACCUGGGAACUGCGUUUGAUACGGAUGGGCUAGAGUUCGGGAGAGGAGAGUGGAAUUCCCAGUGUAGAGGUGAAAUUCGUAGAUAUUGGGAAGAACACCGGUGGCGAAGGCGGCUCUCUGGACCGAGACUGACGCUGAGGCGGCGAAAAGCGUGGGGAGCAACAGG